rnacentral:rRNA from 1 species
GAUGAACGCUAGCGGCAUGCCUAACACAUGCAAGUCGAGGGAGAAGCCCCUUCGUGGGCGGUACUCGGCGCACGGGCGGGUAAGUCGUAUGCAAGUGACCUUCCACACGGGGAGAGCUAGAAGAAAUUUGGAUUAACACCCCAUAAUAAUAUGGGAUGGCAUCAUUGGUUAAUUAAAAGUGCGGUGGGGAAAGAUGGGCAUGCGUCCCUUUAGCCAGUUGGUGUGGUAAUGGCACCCCAAGGCUACGAUAGGUAGGCGUCCUGAGAGGGAGGGCCCCCACACUGGUACUGAGACAGUGACCAGACGCCUACGGCAGGCAGCAGUGAGGAAUAUGGGGCAAUGGUCGGAAGACUGAACCAGCCAUGCCGCGUGCAGGAAGAAUGGCUUAUGGGUUGUAAACUGCUUUUAUAUGGGAAGAAUGAUGGGUACGUGGCCGUUGAUGACGGUACCAUAUGAAUAAGCACCGGCUAACUCCGUG